ensembl:snRNA U6 U6 spliceosomal RNA
GUGUUCACUUCAGCAGCACAUAUACUAAAAUUGAAAUGAUACAGAGAAGAUUAUCAUGGCCCGUGCGCAAGGAUGACACAAAUUUGCCAAGCAUUCCCUAUUUUU